rnacentral:pre_miRNA from 1 species
UAUCAGAGUGAGGUAGUAGAUUGUAUAGUUGUGGGGUAGUUAUUUUACCCUGUUCAGGAGAUAACUAUACAAUCUAUUGCCUUCCCUGAGGA